ensembl:lncRNA
UCCAGUUGACGUCUGUAUAUACAGUUAGCGUUGCCAGGGAAACGUUCCCAGUCACAAAGAAUUGUGCUUUUGAUUCCAUGGAACCAUCUGGCUUUCUUGUCAUGGUCUGACCAAAAUUCCUUCUCUGCAUACAAGGCCAGUAUACGCAGCAUCACAGUCGUUUCAGAUACUCAGCUUGGCAUUCCGUUUACUCAGCGUUUACCGUGAGCGGGCACACAUCUUGGGAAUGGCUGCAGUUAGGCCACAUAGUUUACUCACUAAGUGAACAGAGGUGAUUUCUGUGUUUGCAUUCCAUUGUUCUGCUCCCCUAUGUCUUUGCCUUUCUCCCUGGGAAGUCAGUGAAAAAGGGACUGAGCUUUGUGUCACCACCACAGCAUUUUCCACUUAUGUGUUCAAUCUCUUAAAAGACAAAUAAAGACUGCUUCCUUAGAGGGUGCUCGUACGGUAUACUAGACAGCCUUCCAAAGUCUUUUUUUUUCUCCUCCGGUUUUCUAGUCAUUUCCUGUUUUGUGUGUUAUGGGAACAUUAGAAUGGCUCUCGAUGCUCAGUGGUGUAUGACCAAGAUGCCAUGCUCCUCUCAGCCCUCAUGCACAUCCCAAUCCACAUGCCCCAUGCUACUCAUUUCAGAUGGAAACUCCAGCCAACCAGUGUCAGGCAGCUCUGAGAGCCCCUGCAGCCCUCCUCCUGGAGAGGGACUGGCCCUGGUGGAGUGCCGGAAGCCACACCAACACCACAUCUCUCCAAUUGGAGUAAAUCUGCCUUUCCUUUGAGGUGAAUUUAUCUUGGAGUUCCCGUCGUGGCGCAGUGGUUAACGAAUCCGACUAGGAACCAUGAGGUUGCGGGUUCGGUCCCUGCCCUUGCUAACGAUCCGGCGUUGCCGUGAGCUGUGGUGUAGGUUGCAGACGCGGCUCGGAUCCCGCGUUGCUGUGGCUCUGGCGUAGGCCAGUGGCUACAGCUCCGAUUGGACCCCUAGCCUGGGAACCUCCAUAUGCCGCGGGAGCGGCCCAAGAAAUAGCAACAACAACAACAACAACAAAAAAAAUAGUUUAUCUUUAAGGCUUAUUAAAGCUUGGGUGGACGGACCCACGUCAUCAUGUAAGCAACUUGUUGCAUGCGAGCAACUUCUGCAUGUAAGACACUACUAGAAAUUAAGUACAGUCAUCCCUCAGUAUGUGCAGGAGUGUUUCCAGGAUGCUCCACAGACACUGUCUGUGGGUGCUGAAGUCCUUUAUAUAAAAAUGACAUGGUAUUUGUAUAUAACAUACUAUAUGCUCCUGUAUACUUUAGGGAAGUUACUCUAGUUUUUUUGUUUGGCCACACCUGCAGCAUGUGGAAGUUCCUGAGCUAGGGAUUGAACCUGCGCCAUAGCAGCGACCUGAACCACAGCAGUGACACCAGAUCUUUAACCCACUGAGCCAUACCCAAACUCCUCCUCCUUCCAUAUACUUGAAAUCUUCUCUGGAUGACUUAUCUGAUACAAUGCAAAUGUCAUACAGUUAUAAAUAACAAUGUAAAUGCUAAUGUUAAUAGUUGCUGGUGUGAGUUAAAUCCCAGUUUUGCUUUUUGGAAUCUUCUGGAAUGUUUUCUCUCUGCAAUUUUUUUUUUUCUUUUUUGGCUGUCCCACAGCAUAUGGAAUUCCCAGGCCAGGUAUCACAUCCGAGCUGUAAUUGUGACCUAUACCACAGCUGUGGCAAUGCUGGAUCCUGUAAUCCCCUGUUCUGGGCCAGGGAUCAGAUCAUCAUCCUGGUACUUCAGAGACACCACCAAUCCUGUUAUACCUCAGUGGGAACUCCUCCCCCCAAGUAUUUUUGAUUUCAAGUUGGCUGAAUUUGCAUAUGUGGAACCCUUGAAUACAGAGGGAUGACUGUGUAACAAAGUUCUCAAGAUACUUGCUCCAAAGACAAGCUCAUCACACCCCACAUGAUGUGAGGUGUCAGGGCAGCUAAGCCCACCCUAAAUAAUGAUAGGAAAGAGAAACCAUAAGCACCGGCUUGGUCCCACUUUCCUGGUGAAUGCAGAUGCCAUCAAAGACGACGAGUUGGACUAUGACAACCUCAAAUGACUGCAGAUGGAUUCCCAGGUCCAAGCUAGAUCCAUGUCUAGAAAGAAGUGUGGAUUUAAGAUUGAGAUCCAGCUGGAAAAAAGUGUAAUCCACUAAUAAGACUCUAGGGCCCUGAAAUGGCAAGCAGCACCUGCAGAUUUCUUAAUCUCAAUUUUAAGGAAAGUUAAUAUUAGUAUUUGCUGGGAGUUCCUGUUGUGGCGCAGCGGAAAUGAAACCCACCAGUAGCCAUGAGGAUGCAGGUUCGAUCCCUGGCCUCAAUCAGUGGGU